UAUUUUUCAAGAGAAGUGUGUUGCUACAGUGCUUUCGAGGAAUUGUUACAGAAAACAAACGGAAAUGUUGAGGGCUGAAGGGAAGCAAAGGGAGUCCUAUAAGGGGCAAAUUCGCGUGGUGGGGGCAAUGCACGGACAGCUUCAAAGGAUUCGGAAUUUUCUUCCUAAAUAUUAACGGCGCAGCGCUUGAUGGAAUCGGACUAUACACGCAGAGCGUCACCCUUUCUCCCCCUCGCUUUCUGCUUUGGGCUGGGUAAGAAUGAUGCACAAGUAAUUUGCCCCUAAACCCAGGACCAUCAUCUCCACCCCCAAGCCCUCUUCUCUGCUCCCCCGCAAAAGCCCCCCGUUGCAUCUCCAGUAAACAAAACAUUUGGGGGUUGGCGGACACCCUUUAACCUUACCUGCGCCUCACUAAACCCAGCCGGGCCAAUCAGAGCGCAGGGCUUAAACGCAGCUGCCAUAUUCAAUGUUAAACGCUGUCAAUCAGGCGGGUUUGGUCCAAUGGGCAGGCCAGCUGGGGGUCAGGUGACGGCUAGCCAGGCGGUUCCCCAUUGGCUGGCAGGGAAGCUGCCUCUCGGAGUUGGGUAUUCUCCCUCUCAGCGUCCCUCGCCCUUCCUCUCCCUCUCUUUUUUCUUUCUCCCCCCCCUCUCCAUAUGUGUUAGGAAGGGAGGAGCGCCUGACUUUAGCCAGUGCAAGGACGUCGCUCAGUUGGAGUGGAGGGCGCCCUCCUGGAAGGCAGGAGGGGAAAGAGGCAGCGGGGAUCCCCCCAGGGGUUGUGUGUGCGAGUCUGUGGGGGGGAACAGAGGGGGUGCCUCCGUUCGUAGCCCUUUAGGGCUAGUGGGUGGGGUUUGGGGGGACUGUUUUUUGGGGAGCGGGUGUUGUUCAGUUGUUGUUUUCUCUACCCCCCUUCUUCUCUCCAACCCCCCACCCACUUAUUUGUGAAAGGUUUGGAGCGCGUGUGAAUGCGGCAUUCGUGGGGCUGGCGCGCGAGCCCUCCUGCCUGUCUCUCCAUUGUGUGGGGCUGAGCUAGUAGUGGGGAGGGGAGAGAGAGAAGGGGGAGAUCGAAAGCUUUGGAGAGCUCGUGUUGUUAUUUGGAAGUUGGGGAGGGGGACAGGAAAGGGGGCGAAAAGGAGACGCGGGAGGAGAUCGCCGUCGUGGGGCCGCCUCGUCCUCUUCAUCUUCCCCGCGGUUCCUCUUCCUUCUGCUUGUGCUGCAUCUCUCAAGGCGGACUAUGACCAUGUUGUUAGACGGCGGGCCUCAGUUCCCCGCGCUGGGAGUCGGGGGCUUCGGAGCGCCGUGCCACCACCCGCACGACGUGGCGAACCGCGAUGCCGCUGCCGCCGCCGCCGCUGCUGCGGCCAUGGGGCUCAACCACCCCUUCGGGGACUCGUCCUUUAAAAUAAGCCCAGCGCCCCACGAGCUGGCGUCGGGACAAGGCUCUGCUUUCACGCCGCAAGCGUCGGGCUACCCGCACCAUCACCAUCACCGCCACCCUCCGCACCCGCCUCACCCUCACCACGCCGGCCAGGUGCCUUCGUCUUACGCCGCCGCGGCCGCCGCGGCCGCUUUCAACUCCACGCGGGACUUUCUCUUCCGCAACCGCGGGGGAUCCGCGCUCGGGGAUUCCCCCGCCGGCGGCGGCGGUGGCGGAGGAGGGGGAUCCGCGGCGGCGGCUGCGGCUGCAGCUCAGCACGGCCUCUUCGGCGGCAAUGCGCCCAGCGGGCUCCACGCUCCUCCGGGCAUCCCGGACAGCCCUGGCGGCUACUUGCUGUUCCCGAGUUUGCACGAUCAGAACCCCAGCCACACCUCCCCGACCGGGCACGUGGAGAACGGGCAGAUGCACCUGGGCUUGCGGGGGGACUUUUUUGGGAGGCCGGAGACGUACCGAGGAGUCUCCAGCCCCCGCGCGGACCCUUAUGGGGGCCCGGCUCAGUUCCACAACUACAGCCCCAUGAAUGUGAACAUGGGGGGCAUGAACGUAGCGGCCGCCGCCGCCGCGGCUCACCACCGUCACCACCACCACGGCGCGGGAGCCUUUUUCCGCUACAUGCGGCAGCCCAUCAAACAGGAGCUCUCCUGCAAAUGGAUCGAGGAGCUGUCGCAGCCUCCGGCUCCUCCGCAUCAGCAACAGCAGCCUCACCAGCCGCCGCUGAGCCGACCCAAAAAGAGCUGCGACCGGACUUUCAGCACCAUGCACGAACUGGUCACCCACGUCACCAUGGAGCACGUCGGAGGCCCUGAGCAGAACAACCACAUCUGCUACUGGGAGGAAUGUCCCCGCGAGGGCAAGUCCUUCAAAGCGAAAUACAAACUCGUCAACCACAUCCGCGUGCACACCGGCGAGAAGCCCUUCCCGUGUCCCUUUCCCGGCUGCGGGAAGAUCUUCGCCAGGUCGGAGAACCUCAAGAUCCACAAGAGGACGCACACAGGAGAGAAGCCCUUUAAGUGUGAGUUUGAAGGCUGUGACCGGCGUUUUGCAAACAGCAGCGACCGAAAGAAGCACAUGCAUGUCCACACAUCAGACAAGCCAUACAUCUGCAAAGUCUGUGACAAGUCCUACACCCACCCCAGCUCCUUAAGGAAGCACAUGAAGGUCCAUGAGAGCCAAGGGUCGGAAUCCUCUCCGGCGGCUAGUUCUGGCUACGAGUCCUCCACCCCGCCAGCCGUUGUGGCUGCCAGCAGCAAGGACUCCAGCAAACCACCAGCAGCAGCUGUUCAGACCGCCAACCCCAGCCACAACCAAGAACUGCCCCCCAACUUUAAUGAGUGGUAUGUCUGAUGAGGACAAAUUCAACUCCUCCCCUCCCCUACAAAAUCAACAACAACAACAAAAACCAGACUAACCAGACUUUACCAAAAGCAUUCCUGUUGACAUCAAAGGACACCGGAUUCAUCUUUGGCCUGUCAUUGGAGUUUGCAGGACAAAAAAUAAUAAUAAUAAAAAUAAAAUAAAAAUGAAGGAGGAACAACUACAGUAGCAGCAGCAGCAGCAACAACAACAAACAAGUGGUGGCAAGGGUGUGAUAUUUUUUUUUUAACCCUAUCCAAAAGCCGGAGGCUGGACUUUGUCUCUAUUUUUCUCAGGAUUUUUCUGCAUUGAUGGUUAUUUCUUUUUUUUCUUUUUAAAAUCCCUCUUCCAACUCACCUUUCAAUACCACUCCCUUUAUUUCCCAACAUUCUUGCCUUUUGUAAAUAUAUACUUCCAAUAGAUAUAUACCCACUCCUUUUUGGGGUGGGAUGUUGAAAAACAACGAACUGACUUUUACACUUUAUGAUUUAACUUCCAAUAGAUAUAUACCCCCUCCUCGCUCUCGCUCUCUUUUUUGGAGGGGUUGGAUUUUGAAAAACAGAAAACUGACUUUUCCCCUUGGCCUUAGUUGUGAUUAUUAAAAAUAAUAAGAAAAAACAACAACCACAGUCUUAAAACUUGCCAAAGUCCUGUAUUGUCUUGAAAUCUUUCUUUCUCUCUCUCUUUCUCUGUCUUUCUGUCUUUUUUUCUCCUACCUUUUUCUCACUCUCUAAAACAUAACACUUGUGAAUGUAUUUCAUAUGAUUUGAGAAUGGGCCAGGGGUGUUCUUCAGUAUGUUUUUCAGGAGGGGGAAAUGUAAUCUUAAUUUCACUCAGCUCAUGGCGGUUUAGUAUAAACAGUUGCCUUUUUGUAAUAACUUUUUUUUUUUGUAAAUACAUAUCCAUGAUGCCAUAUUUAUCAAUUGUAAUUUAAUUAUUGAGAGAAGUGCCGGAAACGGAAACAUAUUUAUGAGGAAAAAAACAAAACAAAAACCCCACAAAAAAAGAAGAAAUUUUGUUUUCUAACAAACAAACAAAAUCCAGACAAACUCUGUACAGCUUUUUGGUUAUAUAACUGCUUUAGCAUUAAAAGUUUAUUGUUUUGGAAAUAACACAGUAGAAUCCAUUUCUUUCCAAUGUUUUCCUUCCAUCUUUUCCUCCCCCAACCCUUUUUCAAAAUUUCUGCCUUUGGGGGGGACGGGGACUCACAGCUGCAAAAAGCAAAUCUAAAAAGAAGCAAGGGGUGUGUCUUCCAUUUUGUAAAAUGCUUCCCAAUUUGCUAGAUCUCAUCACCUCACUUCCAAUUUUCCUUUAUUUAUGUGAAAUGCUGACCACCCCUGCCUCCCUUCCACCCCUGCUUGAAAGGUUUAUGGUGUUUGGUUCUUUCUCACCACGGGUGGGUCGGAGGGAAGAAAGAGGGUUGUGUGUGUGUGUGUGUGUGUGUGUGUGUCUCCCCGCUCCCACCCCUGUUUAGAUGAUGACCUGCCUGUCCUCACUGCAAAUGUCUUAUAAUGGUUUCUUGGAAUCUCCUCCACCACACAUGGGGUUCACAAUUCACUUAGUGGCCUGGACAUCUUGAACUUCAAACGAAGAAGGGAGGAGCUAGAGGCUCUAAAUCUGCCUUGACAGACACAUGUAAACACCAAAAGGGUAAACAUACCCAGCUCUUUCAACUGCUCCUCAUAGGACCUGGUUUUCAGAUUCCUCAUUAUCCUGGUCAUUCUCCUCUGGACAUGCUUCAGAUUGUCAAUCUCCUUCCUAAAUCAUGGAGACUGGAAGUGAGACAGAAUACUGCCGAUGCACCCCAAUCAAAUUCAAAUGCAGCAAAAGUGAGUUAUAAGGACAUAAGAAGAGUCCAUCUAACCUGGCAGCCUGAUCUCACAGUGGCCAACCAGAUGUCUUGAUGGGAAGAGCCUGCAAGUAGGACCUGAGUGCAACGGCACUGUCUCCUACUGCAGCUUCCAGCAAACAGUAUUCUCUGUUCACUUUCUCCAUGCCAUGUAUGUACACUUCUGUCAUAUCUUGCCACCUGGUGAGAUAUAGGGAAGGCAUAAACCUGAACUUCAGUAUGGUGAUAGGCAGGCAGCUUAGGAAUCUGCCUUCAACCAGGGCAGACUGCCUUCCUGCUCUGUCCAAUACUGUUUGCUUUGAAUAAUGACAGCAGCUCUCCAGGGUUCCAUGCAGAGAGGGAGCCAUCUCCAUUACCUGCUAACAGAAUAUUUUGGCUGGGGAUGCCAGGGAAUGAAUCUGAGACCUUUCAUGAAAGCAUGUGUUCCAGCCCCAAGCUACAAUCUCUAUCACAAGAAUGUGGUGUUUCAGGAGCUCUGCACAUAUUUUUUUUAGUAUUUGCCUUUGUGUUCCUGAUGGCAGAAAGUCUAGCCCUAUGGAAGGAGAAGGGCCCAUCUCAGUAGGCAGAGAGGGAUGCAAUACAAGGACUUAGGGCAGGGGUCAGCAAUCUAAGGCCCAUGGGUCACAAGCGGCCCACGGGGGUUGUUUAACUGGCCCACGAGCCACCCCUGAACCGAGCCGCCCACUCAGCGAGUGCCCGCGCACUGCGCUAAACCAGUGCAGAGACUUGCUUUUGUGGCACCGGAAUUCACAUCUGCACAGACACAGAUGCCGGAAAUUGCAGGUGGGCACGCUCAUGUGCACACACAGAGGGAUCUCCACUGGAGUUAUAUCUAUUUGGCCAUUGCUAAGUUGGGAUAGGGGAGGGAUGAGACAGAAGGCUUCUGUUUACCAGUGACAGGCUGUGCACCCUAAACCACUCCAUGCUCCUGAUUUGUGGCCCCUGGAUCAGGCCUAUCGACCCUGUGCCAAAUCAGAGACCACCCCAUCUUCAGCAUAUGUUCAGGAGGGGGUGGAGAAGGAAGGGAUUCUACAUCUCCCUCUCCCAAUGGGGGAGGGAAAUCUUGUGGACUAUUCACUUUAAUGUUAAGAUUGCUUUAUAGAUCUGCUUGCCUUCCAAUAAAUGAAAAUGCUUUUCUAACA